GAUGAACGCUGGCGGCGUGCCUAAUACAUGCAAGUCGAGCGAACAGACGAGGAGCUUGCUCCUCUGACGUUAGCGGCGGACGGGUGAGUAACACGUGGAUAACCUACCUAUAAGACUGGGAUAACUUCGGGAAACCGGAGCUAAUACCGGAUAAUAUAUUGAACCGCAUGGUUCAAUAGUGAAAGACGGUUUUGCUGUCACUUAUAGAUGGAUCCGCGCCGCAUUAGCUAGUUGGUAAGGUAACGGCUUACCAAGGCAACGAUGCGUAGCCGACCUGAGAGGGUGAUCGGCCACACUGGAACUGAGACACGGUCCAGACUCCUACGGGAGGCAGCAGUAGGGAAUCUUCCGCAAUGGGCGAAAGCCUGACAGAGCAACGCCGCGUGAGUGAUGAAGGUCUUCGGAUCGUAAAACUCUGUUAUUAGGGAAGAACAAAUGUGUAAGUAACUAUGUACGUCUUGACGGUACCUAAUCAGAAAGCCACGGCUAACUACGUG
rnacentral:rRNA from 1 species